AUUGAACGCUGGCGGCAGGCUUAACACAUGCAAGUCGAGCGAGCGGCGGACGGGUGAGUAAUGUAUGGGAACCUGCCCGAUGGAGGGGGAUAACUACUGGAAACGGUAGCUAAUACCGCAUACCAUCGGAUGUACCCAGAUGGGAUUAGCUAGUAGGUGGGGUAAUGGCUCACCUAGGCGACGAUCCCUAGCUGGUCUGAGAGGAUGACCAGCCACACUGGAAAUGAGACACGGUCCAGACUCCUACGGGAGGCAGCAGUGGGGAAUAUUGCACAAUGGGCGCAAGCCUGAGGCAGCCAGGCCGCGUGUGUGAAGAAGGCCUUCGGGUUGUAAAGCACUUUCAGCGAGGAGGCGUUACUCGCAGAAGAAGCACCGGCUAACUCCGUGCCAGCAGCCGCGAUAAUUC
rnacentral:rRNA from 1 species